CUUAUGGCCCCGUGCUGUGCUCCUCUAAUGGCCCUGGACUCUGGCUCUUCAAAUUCAGCCUCUAGGUGCUGAGCCUCAUCAGUCCAGCCCUGAGUGAAGCUUUCACCCCUCCCUUCACAAAUAGUAUGGAGUGCACAGCAUGCAGCUAUAAGCAUUGGAAUACUGUCAUCAGCCAGGUCCAGCCUCCCAGCACCAAAGGG